rnacentral:rRNA from 1 species
UACGGUGGAAGAAGCUACGCUGCAACAGCUGUGGCAGCGGUUGUUCAUGCCGACCCUGGGGCAGUGCCUCCAGGCCCAGACCGGCGAGUUGUGGUUCCCGCGCGAGCAGCCGCGGCAAGUCGCCAUGCUCAAGGCGCGGCCACGCCCCCGCGGCGCCAGCGCGACCGUGCCCGGAGACUGCCCCGGCAGUUGACCUCGGCGGGGCUGCGGGGGCGCCACCUCCUCCACCAGACCGGGCUGCCCCAGCUGAAGCAGCGGCCGCUGCCGCGGGACCGCAAGCCGUGGCCGCAGUCCCUGUACCUGUAUCAUCCGGGCAAGCUCGACCACCAGAGGCUACCGCGACCGCCCCCGGAGCGUCUCGAGGUCGACGGCAGCCACAGGACAGAGGCCGCAAGAACUCGUGGUAACCCAGCUCCUUCCUCUUCGGUAGGAUACCUGAUUUUGUCAAACACACUCUAAAAUAAAAGACCACCCAAAUAAUCGACCGAACCUUUACGAGGGAACUGUAACAGAGUAAGUAGUUGUGUUUCUAACAGUCGGAAAUGGGUUAACGUUCUAGAAGUCUUAUUUUUUCCCCUCUGACUCUGGCCAUCUUUUCUCUAAGAAGUCAUGUGUUAUAUACGUAGACAACUAAAACGUUAACAGGUCCAAUCUAAGAGAUUUUAUAAGUUCCUAGAGAACCUGUAAAAAAACCCGUAACAACUAGGUACUUAGUCGACAAAAGCUUAAGCCUUUGUCAACUUAAGGACCUUUUGGUAAAGUGGUGUGCACAAGUCAAACAAUAAAACUCAGGUACGGGGGACGAAUGUGUCGCCGCUCCGGUUGGUCCCGCAUGUCCCCGCCUCAGCCGUUGAACCAUCACGCAGGUAAAUGCGCACCACCGGACGCCUAAACCCACGUACUGUCGGCCGGUUGUACGACACACCCGCACUACAACAGCUGUACAACAUGUACUCACAACCGACGGUCUCCGCGCGCACCGACUGGCUAUUCACACACCACGAACUCCUAUCGAAAUAAGUAUAAGAAGGUUAAAGCUCUCUCCUUCUCUUGAGUCAUCAUGACGGUUAAAACCGUGCGUUACAAGCAAAAAGUCUAAGUGGUACUAACCAUUACAACAAAUCAUGAAAUUGAAACAGUACCAAGUUAUUUAUCCGUCAAUUAAAAACAACAAACUUUCCUUUUCGUCACGAUGUUAUCGUGCCAACUAAAACCAACGAUCUUCCUUUUAGUCACGAUGUUUAAAAUCUUGAUCCUACAACAAAAAGUGUCAAGCCAGUUCAUAACGAAUAAACGUAACAUGCUAGUGUUGAAAUUCGAAUUAGAAGAAAAUCAACACAUCGUAACAUCUGGACCCAGGAAAUAAGGAUCGUCUAGUUGUGUAAACCAGUCUAAAUCGAAUAAACUAUUACACGUUUGUUAUUUACCACACUUAUAUACGCCUCAAGCUACCUUUUGUAACUUCACAUACUACGAGGUCCGAGCCGCUGUUCACAACAGCAGUACUCCGGUCUGCUGAACAACGCGGUUAGGCCACUCUCGUAGGUUAUCGCCUUACAGUAGGCUUCUUAGUACAGGUCACUCAUCAGGUCGAGGUCGUUGUUUUGGUGUAGACCAAAAGUGGUUGUUCGACCUGGUCGCCGUAACAUGAGCCCAAAACAAACCACUCUAAGAGAAGUCUUUUGUUCUAAACAUAACCACCAUCUAACUGUCGUUGACUGUCGUAGAAGCAGUAGGCGCCACCGUCACGGCAGGCGCGCCUUACGGAAGACGCAGGCGCGGAGGCGGUGGCUGUGGCGGUGCGUCGGUUACUACAGCCGUACACCACUUUUUUCCCGGGUUCACUUUCCAGCUGGUUCGACAUUUUUAAGUCACUUCUCCUUAAAAACACGAGUGUCGAGUGUGGUACCGCAGGCAACGGAGACAAGAAUGAAAUAAUAAAACAAAAAGGGAAGCAGCUAAAAAGUGCAGCGGACUGUUCUUGUUCUUAACGUUUCUUCUUCACUUUUCUUUUGUGUCUUGUUUCCUACUUGCGGUCUCUCGUGAUGAUAUAUAAAAAGGGGGUUUUAUACUACCCGUCACCACACGAACAAACGUAACUAGCGUACCACCGGUCGUGAAGUGGUGUGUAGACUGCCGCUGACAAAAUAGGUACUCCACCUCCUAUUCUCUUCGCGUAGAGACUUUAAGUGUCAAAACUUGGAUUUCUCUGUGUAGAUCUUUUACUAACGUGCUCACCAAGGUCACAGUACAUGCAGUUGUACCAACCUCUAAACCCUAGCCUACGACGCGGUUCUCGCUCCCUGUCUCCACGACUUGAUUGUCGUCCCCCCUCCCACUAAGAAGUCCAUGGUUGUACCGACAGCUGAUCUCUUAAAUCAAUUGGCAAACGAAAUGAACUUCGAGGUUUAACAUCAAUAAAAUAAACAAGUGAUUAAACCAUAUUAGGAUUAUAUCCUCCUGAUACUAACAUACUAUACUCUAGGACUGUAAAUCGUUAUUAUUUUCAGACCGUGACUUACCAAGAAAAGCCUUCAUGUCAACAUUCUAGAUACUAAGAUCGAAGCUGGAAAUUGACCUGUCAUGAUUAACCUGUAUAUUAACUAAUAAAUACGUGUUGUUCUAUAAGACAAACAAAAUCAAAAAGUUAGUCUAAGUAGAUCGGGAAACAACUUAAAGAUUAACAAGGUGGGAGAUGGAGACUUUGAGUCUUUAGUCUCUUUCCAGUAACCGUAUAGGGAUAGAGACUGCCUUUAAACGAUCGCUCCUUCUCCUGGUCUUACAAAAAAGAUAACAACCCCUAUAUGUAUUAUGUAUAUCUAUUUAAACCUGGUAAAUAUUGUCUCUAAAGAACGGUUUUUAUAAUUGAGACAGGUCGUCACCCGUGACAGUUCCAUUAUUGUCCUUAAACGACUUGGAUUAACUUUCUUUCUCCCUACCAUUAGGCUAGCUCUUGUAAGAGAUUGAUUUUAUCUGAAUGCUUGUUAGUUGUUAUAGUUUAUUAAAGUUUAAUUGUUUACAACAAACUAAUUUUAUGACUAAAUUCUUAAACCGCUUAGAUAUUAAGAGAUGUAUCUCGGACAAGCCUUUACCAGACCGAGGAGUCUUAGGAGCUGAGGCCGAGGACGAGGGCUUUAUGACGAGGAGCAUUUUUUAUCGGGACUUUUUUUUGACAAGCUGUCUGUCGAGGCGAGGAACUAAGUGAACACCGCCCACCUCCUUUGUCUUUGCUCGCUCAGCACACCGGCGAGACUUGGCAAAGGGUGAACCGCCACCGUCAAGGAAACAUUUAAAAUAGUUGAGGUACUAUAACUUCUAGACUCUAGACUCUUAAUCGGCGAGGUGUUUUAACGUGUCGUCGGGCGAAGUGAGGUACAAAAGUCGAGGCACCUCGAGUUCGCAAGCCGCGGCGAGGUGGUUGAGGCCCUCACCUCAACUCCUCGUCUCUCUUUGGCUUGUGUGGGUAUUAGUGAACCACGUAACAAUCUGGUGAACCCCUGUUAUAGUAGUUAAAGAACGUAUGACGUUAUUACGUUCAAAUUUUUCGGUCAAAGAACACAAAGAAUAAUAGAGACACAAGUCGAUUGACGGUUCUUAGUAUAUUCCUACGUAGAUUACUCCAUCUAAAACAAAUACGUAAAAAAUUCACAUAUCCCUACGACAUAGACUAAUUGUUUUGUAACAAGUUGGAAGAUACUCAGGUGGAUCCCUCGACGUGUUUAAACCUUGUUGAAGGUCUUGUCCGUAGGUUCGUAAAACCAGACGAUGGUCAUUCGACGGUCUCGUUCUAUCGACCCUCAGACCCUACAGCUCAGCAGCUCGGCAGGUUACGGUUCAAGCGGCCGCCUUCCUCUUGUAGGCAGUUCGGCAGGCAGCGGACUCCGCCGAUGUGGUCUCCAGGCACCCAAUGAUGAGGAAACGAGAACGACCGCUGGCCGGAGGUCUCAUCGUGAACGAACUCUAGACUAGAUCUUGACUUAACACGGGACGAAACGACACCAGCAUACGAGAUACAGGUGGCUACUCAAAGUCUAUGUCUAAUCCUGGUUUUAACCUCAUCCAAGUCAGCGCGUUUACAACAUAGUGAAACAGUACCCAUAACACGACAACUUAACGAACAACCUGACAAGUUUGAUUUCAGCAGGUCAGUCAAACGAUGUUACAAGUAAACAAAUGAAACCUUCAAGACAUCUUAAACCCGGACUAGUGAAAGCUUAAACAGACACCAAACUCUAAUUAGAAAGGCUCUACAAUCUCUCACCCAGGUUCCUACCUAGACGGGUAGUCACACGUCUCCUAGAAGAUUAAGGACGUCGAUUAGAACUAAGUACCUAUAACACAAACGAGACACCGCG